rnacentral:ncRNA from 1 species
CUGACGAAUCCGCGGGGUGGACGCACGAACCGUGCGAGCCCAGUUCUGGUUAUAUCGGAUACCGGAAGCGGAGAUAGUAACCGUCAG